AGGAUCAUUUGCACACGUGUAUACACUAACCUGCUAAUGAUAUUGUGGGCGGUGUAAGCUUGCAUUACAAUAAUAUUCCAUGUGUCCUGGGCUGUGUGACUUGUUUUGCAAUCAUGCGUUAUGCAUUGCAUAAACAAGUUUGGUAAACUGAGUGGUGCUGUGUUUGUGUACGAUGAUUAUGUUUUGCAAAGAAUGUUUUAGUUCAAUAAAUGAUGAAGAAUGCAGCAAAAUGCAUUAUGCAUUGUGAAUUGCAGAAUUCCGUGAGCUAACAGAUGUUUGAAUGUUACUUGUGCCUUUGGGAUAUUCUUGAAGGUUUGCUUGAUUCAAUGCCAAUUACCUUCCAUAUGCAAUACUGCUGUUUAGCAUUGCUGUGAACAAAGAGAGUCAAUGUGUAUUGCAUUGAACCUGGAUGUGUUGCAGCUGCUUUGCAACCUAAACAUGGUUGAUUGGGGGCAAACUUGUUUCGUCAUGUGCUGGUUGCUGUUUUGUAAAAUGUGAACAACUGAGACAAGCUGAAGACUUGCAUAUGCUUAGCAUGAAGUGAAGCACAUACACCUGCUGAAUUUAAGCAUAUAAGUAAGUGGUGGAAAUUAAACC
rnacentral:rRNA from 1 species